UACGUAGGGGGCAAGCGUUGUCCGGAAUCAUUGGGCGUAAAGAGCGUGUAGGCGGCCAGAUAAGUCCGCUGUGAAAACUCGAGGCUCAACUUCGAGCUGUCGGUGGAAACUAUUUGGCUAGAGUCCGGAAGAGGAGAGUGGAAUUCCUGGUGUAGCGGUGAAAUGCGCAGAUAUCAGGAGGAACACCGGUGGCGAAGGCGGGUCUCUGGGCCGUAACUGACGCUGAGGAGCGAAAGCAUGGGGAGCGAACAGG
rnacentral:rRNA from 1 species